UGAGGAAUCUUCCACAAUGGGCGCAAGCCUGAUGGAGCAACGCCGCGUGCGGGACGACGCCUUUCGGGGUGUAAACCGCUUUUCUUCGGGACGAGUAUACGGACGGUACCGGAGGAAGAAGCCUCGGCUAACUACGUGCCAGCAGCCGCGGUAAUACGUAGGAGGCGAGCGUUGUCCGGAGUUACUGGGCGUAAAGGGUGCGCAGGCGGUGGCCUAAGUUUGCGGUGAAAGCUCCCGGCUUACCUGGGAGAGGGCCGUGAAGACUGGGGCACUUGAGGCUCGGAGAGGGACGUGGAAUUCCGGGUGGAGCGGUGAAAUGCAUAGAGAUCCGGAAGAACACCAACGGCGAAGGCAGCGUCCUGGCCGAGAUCUGACGCUCAGGCACGAAAGCGCGGGGAGCGAACAGGAUUAGAUACCCCCGUAGUCC
rnacentral:rRNA from 1 species